rnacentral:rRNA from 1 species
UUGACUCAACGCGGAAAAGCUUAUCUGGUCCGGACGCAGUGAGGAUUGACAGACAGUUUCAGGAGUGGUUCUUGGUAAACAAUUGAGAGAGUUGAAGUUCUUUCAUGAUCUUGUGAGAGGUGGUGCAUGGCCGUUCUUAGUUCGUGUAGUGAUAUGUCUGCCUAAUCGCGUCACGAUAACCUAUUGGUCGACAACCCAAUUAUCACAACUGCAGCAUAACUCCCCUUGGGUGGGCGAGGCUCUGUGUAGGAUAGACCUCUGAACAGUACGCAACGAACGCGAUCGUAAUCCCUUGUUGAGUGGCCAUCCUGUAAGCUGCUGGAUUAGGAACCCAGUGGUAUUAUCUCAGCCACAGAUUUUCUGGUUGUAAUGGGCCAGUUUUGAAACUCGGGGAACAUCUGUGACUUUCUUUCUUAACGCAGAGGAAGGUUAUGGCAAUAACAGG